rnacentral:rRNA from 1 species
UACGAAGGGGGCUAGCGUUGUUCGGAUUUACUGGGCGUAAAGCGCACGUAGGCGGAUCGUUAAGUCGGGGGUGAAAUCCUGGAGCUCAACUCCAGAACUGCCUUCGAUACUGGCGAUCUUGAGUCCGGAAGAGGUGAGUGGAACUCCUAGUGUAGAGGUGGAAUUCGUAGAUAUUAGGAAGAACACCAGUGGCGAAGGCGGCUGCGCUGGUCCGGUACUGACGCUGAGGUGCGAAAGCGUGGGGAGCAAACAGG